AUGGCUUAAUGACGGUUGAAUGGAAGGUAACUUUGCUACUAACGAUUCAACUCUGUAAUCAGUUCAGCUACAAAUUCGGAACAAUGAAGACCGCUAUUGCAUUCGCUCUUUUGACCCUUUGCAUCAUUGCUACACAAACAACAGUGUCAGCUCAACAACCCUGUCCCGUUAUGUGUCAAUUCGGAGCCAACCAUCGUUUCCCACAUUUCACCCGAUGCAAUCGUUAUUACGAAUGCCAAUCUGGAUAUCUAUUCGAGUUCAACUGUGGUGAGCAAGGCACGUUCGAUGUAGAGACAUUACAAUGCAUGACCGGUGAAGGACGGUGUGUCCUAACUCAAGAUGUUCGAGCUGUACCAUUAUCAUAGGACUAUCUGUUGAAAUUAACGAUUUAUUGAACAUCAAGCUUCACAUUACAAAAAUAAAUUAAAAGUUUCUCAA